AUAGGUUGUUUGCACAUGACGUCAUUGCUGUGGCGAGAAAUGCAGCUGGAGGACAGGAAGUGAUUUUUCUCUCCAUGUUUCCGAACA